CCUACGGGAGGCAGCAGUGAGGAAUAUUGGUCAAUGGACGGAAGUCUGAACCAGCCAAGUAGCGUGCAGGAUGACUGCCCUAUGUGUUGUAAACUGCUUUUAUACGGGGAUAAAGUCAGGGUCGUGACCCUGUUUGCAGGUACCGUAUGAAUAAGGACCGGCUAAUUCCGUGCCAGCAGCCGCGGUAAUA
rnacentral:rRNA from 1 species